UUGUCCACGUUGGCAGCUGCGCUUGUCUGUGAUAACCUUGUGCCGAUCGCACGUCCCCGUGACGGCGACAACGCAUUCGGAUGUCUGCCCUAUCAACUUUCUAUGCAAUUUUCUGUGCCUACCAUGAUGACCACGGGUAACGGGGAAUCAGGGUUCGAUUUCAGAGAGGGAGCCUGAGAAACGGCUACCACAUGCAAGGAAGGCAGCAGGCGCACAAAUUACCUACUCCCGACGUGGGGAGGUAGUGACGACAA